GACGAACGCUGGCGGCGUGCCUAAUACAUGCAAGUCGAACGAAGCUGUUUUAACUGGUGCUUGCACCGACUUAAACAACUGAGUGGCGAACGGGUGAGUAACACGUGGGUAACCUGCCCCAAAGCGGGGGAUAACAUUUGGAAACAGAUGCUAAUACCGCAUAACCACAGAAACCACAUGGUUUCUGUGUCAAAGAUGGUUUCGGCUAUCACUUUGGGAUGGACCCGCGGCGUAUUAGCUUGUUGGUAAGGUAAUGGCUUACCAAGGCAAUGAUACGUAGCCGAACUGAGAGGUUGAUCGGCCACAUUGGGACUGAGACACUGCCCAAACUCCUACGGGAGGCAGCAGUAGGGAAUCUUCCACAAUGGACGAAAGUCUGAUGGAGCAACGCCGCGUGAGUGAAGAAGGUUUUCGGAUCGUAAAACUCUGUUGUCAGAGAAGAACGUGUGCGAGAGUAACUGCUCGUGCAGUGACGGUAUCUGGCCAGAAAGCCACGGCUAACUACGUGCCAGCCGCCGCAGUAA
rnacentral:rRNA from 1 species